rnacentral:rRNA from 1 species
UACGUAGGGACCGAGCGUUGUCCGGAAUCAUUGGGCGUAAAGAGCGUGUAGGCGGCCUUUUAAGUCCUGCGUGAAAUCCUGCGGCUCAACCGCAGACGGUCGUGGGAAACUGGAAGGCUAGAGUGCGGGAGAGGAGAGUGGAAUUCCUGGUGUAGCGGUGAAAUGCGCAGAUAUCAGGAGGAACACCGGUGGCGAAGGCGGGUCUCUGGGCCGUAACUGACGCUGAGGAGCGAAAGCGUGGGGAGCGAACAGG